rnacentral:rRNA from 1 species
GAUGAACGCUAGCUACAGGCUUAACACAUGCAAGUCGAGGGGUAGCAGGGUAGCAAUACCGCUGACGACCGGCGCACGGGUGAGUAACACGUAUCCAACCUUCCCAUAACUCGGGGAUAGCCUUUCGAAAGAAAGAUUAAUACCCGAUAGUACUUAUAUAGGGCAUCCUACAUAAGUUAAAGAUUUAUUGGUUAUGGAUGGGGAUGCGUUCCAUUAGAUAGUUGGUGAGGUAACGGCUGACCAAGUCUUCGAUGGAUAGGGGUUCUGAGAGGAAGUUCCCCCACAUUGGUACUGAGACACGGACCAAGCUCCUACGGGAGGCAGCAGUGAGGAAUAUUGGUCAAUGGGCGGGAGCCUGAACCAGCCAAGUAGCGUGAAGGAUGAAGGUCCUAUGGAUUGUAAACUUCUUUUAUAGUAGAAUAAAGUGAUCCACGCGUGGAUUUUUGUAUGUAUACUAUGAAUAAGGAUCGGCUAACUCCGUGCCAGCCGCCGCGGUAA